GAUGAACGCUGGCGGCGUGCCUAAUACAUGCAAGUCGAGCGAACGGACGAGAAGCUUGCUUCUCUGAUGUUAGCGGCGGACGGGUGAGUAACACGUGGAUAACCUACCUAUAAGACUGGGAUAACUUCGGGAAACCGGAGCUAAUACCGGAUAAUAUUUUGAACCGCAUGGUUCAAAGGUAAAAGACGGUCUUGCUGUCACUUAUAGAUGGAUCCGCGCUGCAUUAGCUAGUUGGUAAGGUAACGGCUUACCAAGGCAACGAUGCAUAGCCGACCUGAGAGGGUGAUCGGCCACACUGGAACUGAGACACGGUCCAGACUCCUACGGGAGGCAGCAGUAGGGAAUCUUCCGCAAUGGGCGAAAGCCUGACGGAGCAACGCCGCGUGAGUGAUGAAGGUCUUCGGAUCGUAAAACUCUGUUAUUAGGGAAGAACAUAUGUGUAAGUAACUGUGCACAUCUUGACGGUACCUAAUCAGAAAGCCACGGCUAACUACGUG
rnacentral:rRNA from 1 species